GCAACCGCAACUUGAACUUCACAGACGGUUUGGAACCGCUUGUUUCGUUCAAAAUUCAGGGCAACAAAUUAAAAAGGUCGUGGUUAAGAUAAUAUGUCGCAAACAUUGCAGGCUUAUUUUGUAAGGACGUGCGCUAGCGAAGUAUUGAAUGAACUCAGUCUUAGACGCCACUCAAUGUAAUUUGAGAAAGAGGUUGUCCUCGCAGUGGUAGCGACGGCAUUCGAAUUUUUCUUAGUCUCUGAGCGCAACGUCGUCUGCCACAACGUCGUCUGCCACGCAUCGUCGAGGUUCCUGCUCAAGCUCUUCCUGUCAGCUAAAUUGUUAAUAUUAUUAAAAUGUAAGCUAAAUUGUUAAUGAUUAAAAUGUAACGGACAUCGAAGGUGAGCGCUGCGACGUUUUGUUUCUUUGACCCGAUUUCUUAAGUGUCAUUUAGCAUCGGGUUAGUAUAGCCUUUAAAUUCAGUUAAAAUGUUUUUACUGUAUUUUGUAUUCGUGGAAAAUCUGUCUUUAUUCAAAAAUAAGUUUUGUUGUUGUUGUUGUUUCUGCGCGCGAGCUGCUUGAAAGUUUUGCAAGUGCUCAGAUUGGUUUCUGGUUGUCGCUGCAGUGAAGUUCCAGUGAUAGUCCAUUAGUGUCAACUUUCUUGUGCGGUGUGUAUACUUUCUUUUCAGGCGGAAAUUUUGUGACCAAGGGAUGAAAUUGCAGCGUUUAUCCACAACUAUAAGAGCCAGUGACACCGAAGGUGACAUAUCGGCAGUUUAUUUUCCGCCCAGUCAUCUAAAACCUCAGCUGCCAACUAGUUGACUGGAGCUGGGACGGAGCCGCCCAACCGCCACGUUUCCGGUGCCGAACUCACCUUUGACAGUGUUUCACAAUGUGUCCCUUGCAAUAGGUUGUCACGGCACAUAAUGGCGGGGCACUUGAAGUGCCGUCCUAAAGGCGUCCAAAAGGAGUCGCUGGUUGCAACGAGAUGCAGUUGAGAGUGCCACGGAUGCUUUCUUUAACGGAACGGGCUGAGAGCACGCACCCUGUGCUCUUUUUCACUUGAAAGGGAUGGUGAACCGAAAUUAGGAUUUCGGGAAACAAUGCAGGAGCUGUAGGCAGGACGCUACAAUCCCUACAACACUACUCGUAAGGCGAUAUCUCGAAUGGACGGCCAUACUUUUGGAAAAAAAAGGUUGAGAUUGAACGAGGCUGACGAGGCGCGUGGCGUCAAGAUAUCUUGUUUCCUCCUCUCUUCGUUUCGCCCCCUCGAGGCGGUGAAGACGCAAGGUCGUUCCCUCCCCUUCCCGGAGAAACAAGACGUAAACAUAUCUGUCAAAUGCGCCUCCUUUUUUUAAAAACUACGGUCAUCCGUUCGAUAUAUCGUUGCAUGAGUGAUGUUUUGAUGUUUGUAGCAUCCCGUUGCAUGCUUUUACCACCGUGCUUUGUGGAGUCCAGAUUUCGGUUCAGCAUCCCUUUCAGUCUGACCGUAUCCGACACUAUCAUCCAAUGGAGCCAGUCAAACAGUGCACCGUCGCGGCGCUCGUCGCCUUCGUGCAUUUGCCAUCGCCAACUCAACCAAUUGCACACGACGAAUGUGCCGCAAUCCUGUGCUUUUUUUAAUGCACAAUUGGUUUGGCCAGCGGCAGCAUACUUACAGAGACGACGAGCGCCGUGACGACGCACUUUUGGCGCUGCUUGAAUGGCUCCGUCGACUGAAACAAAGUAUGGCUUUAUUUCUUCCAAGCGUCUCGUGCCACCUGCGUAGCUCACAAAAAAUAUCCACAAAUUGCACCUCGUGCCACACUCCUACCAUUAGCUUUCGAGGCGCUUGGAUACCGACGGUAUUUCCUUUGCAGACGUUGCCGACGCCACCUUGCUGCUGCAGCCCAGCAUCGAACGCCGAAGGUCGAAGCCCAGGCGUGCCUCGGAAUGUGCACGUAAAGCCCAAACAUGGACAUGUCUCACUUAGACGCCGCAUUCCCUUGGACGACGGGUCGGCGGAGAGGUCACCAGCCACCGGGCGGCUGCCCCUGCCACCGCCAGACCGCGCCCGCCACAGCUGCACCUUCUGCGCGUACACGACGGCCUACCGCACCAACCUGCUGACCCACGAGCGCACGCACACUGGGGAGCGACCUUAUCAGUGCCCCCUCUGCCCCAAGGCCUUCGCACAGAACACCACACUCGUGCGGCAUGUGCAGACGCACACGCGCCACGAUGCCAAGGGGGUUCCCGGGAACGACCUCCCGAGCCGCGCCCAGACCUACUACCCGCACUGAACGGAGCCACGGAACGAGCGACGCUUUGAGGCCAGUUUACACGUUUGCGUUUGAGUGCAACCACGGUGUAAGAUGUGUGUAGGUGUGAACACUGCACAUCCUCCUCUUGCCUUGGUUGCAACCGGUACUAUCAGAAGGCGCCUCUUAGAUAAUCAGUUAGAUGGUUGCCUGUCGUGGGCCCGGUUUCCCAAACUUCUCUACGAGAAACGCGCUCGUUUUUAAAGUUGUUUUCCGGGUGUACCGCAUGAUAUAGAGCUCGGCACUUGCACCACGCGUGUCGCUUAGACACAGCUUCGUCAUUGACGCUUGCCUCAACGGCAGCAAGAACAGUUUUACGAACGCAACGAAGCGGAGAGACUUCUGGCACGGCGGUCAAGCUUGCGUCCGUCGAAGUCAGAGCAAACGCGCCGUGCAAAACGCACACGCGCAAAAAUGUUGUAACAAUGAGGCUUUUUUUUUUUUGCUUUUUUUUUUGCUUUUUUUUCUUUAGUUGCAACAUCAAACCGGCAGAUACGCCACCAGAAUAGGUUGCUGGGGCAUGCAGGACUUUAUCUGGUCGAUCGCAUUGCAGCGUUCACUGUACUGCGUGCCCACACCUAUAUAUAUAUCUUGCAGCGUGGGUGUGACCGAAUGCGUCGUGACCGCUUGUAACCGCUCACAAGAGGAUACACUCUGCGAACACAGUGGUACACCGACGCCGUCUAUCAGCUACUCUUGGAACACUUCCGAUCCGCGUAUAACUCUACUCGACGUCCGCCAUUUUAUGCUACGUCGUCGGGGCUAGCGUGGCUUUCACGGUGCUCCAACGUUUUGAAACCUACUUGCACGAUCGAAUGCGAAAGGAACUCGCGUGCACGUGCUCCAAAAGCAGUGCGGGGCCUCCGUAACGUGGAAGCUACGUUGACAUCAACGAUGCAGCACAAUAGUCGACGCCGGGUACGGACCGGAGGUUCUGCGAUAUUGGCGACAUCAGAUCUACACACUGUCUAGGGGAAACGGUUGUUUAUAACAUCGUCGGAGUCAUCUCAACCCCACAGCGAAAAACCGGUGCAUAUUUGUAAAUUACGCAGCUAAGAAGCAAUUAUUUGAUAGAUGGCACCAGAGCAAUUAUUCAGUUGUAUUCAUUGAUAUAGUCGGUCACAGUCGGAUGUAAACGCGUGAACCAGCCUUGAGAGUAGCGACGCUUCGGCAAUCUCGAAAUCGUUGUUACCAGUUAUUCGCAGUUGUAAUCUGAAAUCGCAAGAAAUGCUUUUCUGUCUUUCGGAAAUGUUGGGGCAGUCUAUGACCGAGGAGAACGAUAUUGCCCGAGCUCCCAGAAACUUUUAUCUGAAGCUCGGGAGGUCACAGUUUUUAAUCGUAACUAGCGCCAGUAGACCCUUUUCAUAACGCCGUUGAGCAACAUUGACGGUCACCAUUUCUUCGGCAGGAAGCGUGCGAUUCGAUUCGAGUCCUCGCCAAUCGCUGACGCAACACUCAUUCUCGAUCUAAGCCGAGCCGCGUUCAUGCUGAAUGUUGACAUGGUCAUAGUGUCCAGUACGGCGGGCAAGUGUUCUAAAAUGCGUCUUUCACGCAUUGGAACGCGAAAAGGUGCAUUCGAAUCAAAGGGCAAAACAGAGGACACCCCCAUAGAUAACGCACAAUAACGAACCAGCGAAUUUCGUGCCAUUAUUGGUUGAAGCCGGGGGGGAAACAAACGCACGUGGAUGCAUUAGGGGGUAAACAAAUGCACAAGGUGCGCAAGAAGCAGACGAACUUGCAGGCCAUAUAGAAGCUCAAAGUACAAGGUGUUCCCAACAAAAGAGAACUAUGUUUUUCGGCCCGGGUAAGUGAACUACGCAUUGCAAAAAGCUCAAACUCCGUGAGAAUGUGACGAUAGCGGUUGGGAUAGAACAUGAAAGUUUGAGAACAUGAGGUUAGCUAGAUGAUGAGAUAAUUGGGAAUAACGAAAUUUCUCUUUGUGACCCGAUGCACUCCUAAGCCUAAUAUUGUCAACAAAAAAAAAACAAAAAAACUCGGGACGCUUAAUCUUUGCGUUUAAGGGUGGAACACGAUGGCAUUGUCAAGCCCUGUACGCAAAGCCUUCUCAUAUAAACCCGCGCUAGUUCCCAAGCGUGUGUGCGUCAUCUAGUGGGUAGUGUCACAUGACGUGACGUCACAUGCAACUGAUGUCAUAACCUUAUCAGCCCCGCUAAAUUUAGCAAAAACUUUUUGCUAAAUUUGCGGGAAAAUGUUUUGGUAAAUUUGGCAGGGAAAUUUUCCGCUAAAUUUGGCAAGAAAAUUUGUCACUAAAUUUAGUGGGCCAAUAAGGUCAUGGACGUCACUGCCACGUGCGACGUCUCACUUGGCUGCGUGCAUUGCAUUAUGGUACUUUUUGGUCCCACCGACGCAGGCGCCGGAUUAUCUGCAACACGAGCUCCUAAACGCUAUGGCAUAAAGCAAGAAAUGACAUUAUGGGCACCUGCGCAGCAUCCAUUUCAGUAAAAAAAAAGACUUGCCAGCACGAAAGGAAACAAGAUUUUUUUUCUUGUUAACAAGUGUUUCCCAAUUAUAUAAAUCCCACAAGCUUCCACAAUGUCGGUUCUUGUUUUGAUGAUGUUAAGCUUAGGUGAAGGUCGGUAUACAAGGUGUGUCAAAUAGCAGCCAGGCUCUUUAAAUCGACUAAAAAUAUUGGUUUCUUAACCCAUCUCGCUAUGAUUUUGUGCAGUGUUGCCCACAGGUGGUGCAUUUUUUUCUAUAAAAUUUGCAAAGAGUGAACUUACCUGAGAAAAAUAAAAAAGAAAAAGGCUUAACUCCUAUGAAAACGCUGCGAAGCCACCGGUUUUGAAACAAUAGGACGCCGUUUGGCACAAGAGACGAGAUGGCACAAGCGGUCGCGACGCUAACUGCCCUUACCGAACGAGCAUACAGCACCGAGAGCCGGCGUCAAAUAGCAGACGUCGGCUGCUUUGCAGUUCACGAUAAAGCGUAUGCUGCGAUUGCCUCUUCCCGAGUUCUCGCCGCAUACGUAACGUCUGCCGCUUUUGAGUCGAAAAGAUUGUCUGCUAAUGACGCCGGCUCUCGGCGUCGUAUGCUCAUUCGUUGGCGGUAGUUGGCGCCGCGACAGCUUGCGCCAUCUCAUUUCCCGUGCCAAAUGCCGCCCUAUUGUUUGAAGACCGGUGGCUUCUCUGCGCUUCCAUAGGGGUUAAGCCUUUUUCCUCAGGUAAGUCUGCUCUUUGCAAAUUUUAUAGAAAAAAUGCACCACCUGUGGGCAACGCUGAACAAAAUCGGUUAAGAAAACCGAUUUUUCGGUCUAUUUAAAUAGCCUGGCCACUGUUUGAGACACCCUGUAGAACAAUUUUGUUUUUCUUCAUUAUCUUUUGAUCCAGGUAAUGUCAUGUUCUCAAACUUUCGUGCUCUAUCCCAACCGCUAGCGUCGCAUUCUCGUGAAGUUUGAGCAUUUGUGUGAUGCAUAAUUCAUUUACCCGGGCCUAAAAACACAGUUCUUUUUUCUUGGGAACCCUCAGUAUAUGUGUCCAAACAAUGGCAGACCGAUAAUUGGUGCAGCAGCUACUAGAUGGCCAUCACUUCUGAGGAUUGCACCAGCUGACAAGAUGGUGGCACCCGCAAGACAAUCGGAGCGUGGAGUGUCGCUACUCUGAAGCAUAGCCUGUUUGGUGGCUCUACCGUUGAAGACUCUCAUCGUCCAUUUCCAAGAUCACCUAGACAUACAAUGCACAUUAAAGAAGGGAACAACUUCA